rnacentral:rRNA from 1 species
GGGGCACCACCAGGAGUGGAGCCUGCGGCUUAAUUUGACUCAACACGGGGAAACUUACCCGGCCUGGACACUGGAAGGAUUGACAGAUUGAGAGCUCUUUCUUGAUUCAGUGGGUGGUGGUGCAUGGCCGUUCUUAGUUGGUGGAGCGAUUUGUCUGGUUAAUUCCGAUAACGAACGAGACUCUAGCCUAUUAAAUAGGCUCCCGGCUUUUAAACGCCGGGAGGACUUCUUAGAGGGACAGGUGGCGGUUCAGCCGCACGAAAGAGAGCAAUAACAGGUCUGUGAUGCCCUUUGUUGUCCGGGGCCGCACGCGCGCUACACUGAAGAGAUCAGCGUGCUUAACGUUCCUGCUCCGACCGGAGUGGGGAACCCAGUGAACCUUCUUCGUGAUUGGGAUAGAAGAUUGUAAUUAUUCUUCUUGAACGAGGAAUUCCCAGUAAAUGCGAGUCAUAAGCUCGCGUUGAUUACGUCCCUGCCCUUUGUACACACCGCCCGUCGCUACUACCGAUUGAACGAUUU